UGGGAAACUUGAGUGCAGAAGAGGACAGUGGAACUCCAUGUGUAGCGGUGAAAUGCGUAGAUAUAUGGAAGAACACCAGUGGCGAAGGCGGCUGUCUGGUCUGUAACUGACGCUGAGGCUCGAAAGCAUGGGUAGCGAACAGGAUUAGAUACCCUGGUAGUCCAUGCCGUAAACGAUGAAUGCUAGGUGUUGGAGGGUUUCCGCCCUUCAGUGCCGCAGCUAACGCAUUAAGCAUUCCGCCUGGGGAGUACGACCGCAAGGUUGAAACUCAAAGGAAUUGACGGGGGCCCGCACAAGCGGUGGAGCAUGUGGUUUAAUUUGAAGCAACGCGAAGAACCUUACCAGGUCUUGACAUCUUUUGAUCACCUGAGAGAUCAGGUUUCCCCUUCGGGGGCAAAAUGACAGGUGGUGCAUGGUUGUCGUCAGCUCGUGUCGUGAGAUGUUGGGUUAAGUCCCGCAACGAGCGCAACCCUUAUGACUAGUUGCCAGCAUUUAGUUGGGCACUUUAGUAAGACUGCCGGUGACAAACCGGAGGAAGGUGGGGAUGACGUCAAAUCAUCAUGCCCCUUAUGACCUGGGCUACACACGUGCUACAAUGGAUGGUACAACGAGUUGCGAGACCGCGAGGUCAAGCUAAUCUUUUAAAGCCAUUCUCAGUUCGGACUGUAGGCUGCAACUCGCCUACACGAAGUCGGAAUCGCUAGUAAUCGCGGAUCAGCACGCCGCGGUGAAUACGUUCCCGGGCCUUGUACACACCGCCCGUCACACCAUGAGAGUUUGUAACACCCGAAGCCGGUGGCGUAACCCUUUUAGGGAGCGAGCCGUCUAAGG
rnacentral:rRNA from 1 species